UCUCCGUAGGUGAACCUGCGGAGGGAUCAUUACAGAGUUCUCGCCCUCGCGGGUAGAUCUCCCACCCACUGUUAUCGUUACUGUGUUGCUUUGGCGGGCCGCCGGGCCCCGCGCGGCCGCCGGCUCCGGCUGGCGCGCGCCCGCCAGAGGCCCAGCAAACUCUGAAUGUUAGUGUCGUCUGAGUACUAUAUAAUAGUUAAAACUUUCAACAACGGAUCUCUUGGUUCUG
rnacentral:misc_RNA from 1 species